AGAACUGGAAUUAAUUUGCAAACUGGACACCAUCAAAUUAGGCCUCAAUUAGACUGGGAAUGGAUGGCUUACUACAAGAACUAAAAAAAACUAAUUUCUCCAUUCUAAAUUGCCCCUACUGUGACUCACACCUUCUUGUUAACUGUUUGAAAUGAGCCACCCUGAUUACCACUACAAAAGUGAUUUUUCAUCCUGUUGAUAAUAGCCCACUUUAAUUGAUUUGUCUCAGCCUCCCACUGGGUAAGACAAUUCCCAUCUUUUUAUGUAAUGUUAUAGAUAUAUCUUCCUACUGUAUUUUCCACUCCACAUAUCUGAUGAAGUGGUUUUAACCCACGAAAGCUUAUGCCCAAAAAAUUUGUUAGUCUGUAAGGUGCCACAAGGACUCCUUGUUGUUUUUGCUGAUACAGACUAACACGGCUUCCACUCUGAAACCUUGUACAAAUCUGUGUCCUUAGAUCUCAUUGGGGUCUCCCAGCCCGGGAUCAGCAAGAGGGGAAGGGAUAAAAUCCGGCAAAGAAGAGAGCAGCCAAGGGGGAUGAUCUGUGACAGGGAGGAGAGACACAGGACAAUAAACAGGGAUGGAAAGUGAGGGCUAGAACAAUAAUGAAUAGAUAAGGACAGUAUGGAAGGAAAGGGAACGUGAGUGGGACGGAGAAAUUCAUUACAUGUUACUGAAAGUGAGACUAUAACUCAUCAAUUCCUGAGAUUGAUUCCAAGGCAUUGGUGCUAUUGUAGUGCCAUAAAGAAAACUGUUCUCAGUAGCUGAGGAAUCUCCUUCCCAUAUGCUGUGGUUAUUAAAGCUCCUUCUCUGCUCCUUUUACUUUCCUGCUUUCCACCUACUUACUGUAAAUAAAACAUUACAAAUAAUUCUUCUUGUUUCUUCCACUUUAAUGUUCCAGCUGCAGUUGUGGGCAGUGUCAUGGGAUUUGCUUCCCAACCUGGUUGUGUCACCCCAGCCCCACAGGGAAUACCGUGCCCAGGAGGAGAGUUUGGGUUUUACUGUGCUGUGUCACGAUCCAGCCUUUGCUCUUUCUCUGAACUGUACACAGCCAUGUCAAUCAGGAGUUGCUCAGCUGUGCUGUGUGGAGAGGUGACUGGUUGCACAGGGGGCAAUCCAUGCAGGGACUCAAGUGUUGCAAUGCUGAGCAUCACAGUAAAUAUUUUUUAGACAGCAAGAAAAUCACAGAAACAGCAGCAUUGUGACCCUCAGAGCUGAGUCAGGUGCAUAAAGUCCCUAGACAAUGCAUGGGCAUCACAGGCACCUUAUAGUGCGAUUCAGAAAAAACAGCUCACUAGGCAGGGAGCCAGCUAAGCUAGACAAGGGGAGAUGCUGACAAGGGGAGGGCUGUCCUGAGCCCUUCCCCCCUCACAGACAGGUGCCUAAAUCAGGGCUGCAGAGGCACAUCUAUCUCUGCUUAGGUACCCACAGACGGGAACCCAGCACCUGGCGUUUCUUCCUGGACUGAGGUAGGCACUUGCCUCGCUCCACACAAAAUGUGUGUGGGGGGGGGAGGAGGUUUUCGUGAUGUCACCCACCAUAAAGCUUUUACCCUCUCUGUGGUUAGAGCACUCAGCUGGCAUGUGGGACAGCCAAGUUCAGUCCUCCCAUCACGCUGUCUAGAGUAGCUCACGAAUGUGAGUACCAACCUCAGGGCAAACAGUUACAAACCAAGGCACAAACCCCAUGCAGGUUGUGAGUUCUGUAUUUAGAUUUCAUGACCAGGUAUCAAAUGUGAACCCCUCAAUCAGUAUAUCAGCCUGAACGUGGUGUCACAGACCGUCCCCUUGAGUACUCCUGUCUAUCUGGCUGUUUUUCUGCCUCCUCCCCUGCUGCAUCUCCCUGCCCCUCCUGGUGGGGCUGCCACAUUCCCAGCAGCAGAGUCGGGGAAGCUCCUGCACACAGUUUCUACGGUUAAAGCCACCAGCUGCUCUAUCCUGGCCAAAGAGAACGGUGGAAGACAUGGAACAGGAGACAGCCUCUCCCCAGACCCGGAAAAGCCAUGAACAGAAACCUUCCCAUCCCAAGCCAAAGGGACCAGGAGGUGGGAGCACUUAUGGGAGAGCCUCUCCCUCACCCAGAGACAGGAAAGAGCC
rnacentral:lncRNA from 1 species